rnacentral:misc_RNA from 1 species
CAUGAAGGAAAGUUACUUCCAUGGGAUGAUAUGAUCUGUGCAGCCUUAAAAGCCAGCCAAACACCAAGUUCAUCCAAACAAUACAUCAACGUAGAAUGCAUUUUUGAUAUGUUCUUGCUUGUAGAUUCUACCACAGAAUCAGUGAGAUCCAAUUGCUUCAAUUUGCAUUCAUGCUUUGCUUUCAAAAUCUUCAAUUUUUCUACUAAACUCACAUAUAUAGCAUAAGGGAUGUCCUUGUGAUUGUAAAAUU